AACGAACGCUGGCGGCAGGCCUAACACAUGCAAGUCGAACGCUCGUAGCAAUACGAGAGUGGCAGACGGGUGCGGAACACGUGGGAACAUACCCUUUGGUUUGGAAUAACUCAGGGAAACUUGAGCUAAUACCGGAUAAGCCCGUAAGGGGAAAGAUUUAUCGCCGAAGGAUUGGCCCGCGUCCGAUUAGCUAGUUGGUGAGGUAAUGGCUCACCAAGGCGACGAUCGGUAGCUGGUCUGAGAGGAUGAUCAGCCACAUUGGGACUGAGACACGGCCCAAACUCCUACGGGAGGCAGCAGUGGGGAAUAUUGGACAAUGGGCGCAAGCCUGAUCCAGCCAUGCCGCGUGAGUGAUGACGGCCCUAGGGUUGUAAAGCUCUUUCACCCACGACGAUAAUGACGGUAGUGGGAGAAGAAGCCCCGGCUAACUUCGUGCCAGCAGCCGCGGUAAUACGAAGGGGGCUAGCGUUGUUCGGAUUUACUGGGCGUAAAGCGCGCGUAGGCGGAUCUUUAAGUCAGGGGUGAAAUGCCGGGGCUCAACUUCGGAACUGCCUUUGAUACUGGAGAUCUUGAGUUCGGGAGGGGUGAGUGGAACUGCGAGUGUAGAGGUGAAAUUCGUAGAUAUUCGCAAGAACACCAGUGGCGAAGGCGGCUCACUGGCCCGAUACUGACGCUGAGGCGCGAAAGCGUGGGGAGCAAACAGGAUUAGAUACCCUGGUAGUCCACGCCGUAAACGAUGGAUGCUAGCCGUUAGGCAGCUUGCUGCUUAGUGGCGCAGCUAACGCUUUAAGCAUCCCCCUGGGGAGUACGGUCGCAAGAUUA
rnacentral:rRNA from 1 species